AGCUUCUUCAUCCUAAUACCCUUGUUAUACGCAUAGUGUGAUCAGAAAAGAGGUCAGCCUGCAUGAAGAGUCAUUGGUCGAAAAAUCCCACACUUCUCAUCCUUGGUCUGUGCGAAUGAGUUGGAAAAAAAAGGGGGCCAAGUAAAAAUCUGGUCUGUACUAGCAUGUCAAACAGCCCCAACUUCUAGUUUCCUUCUCAACCGGUGUUGUGUGAAUAAAAGAAUAACAAGUCUGAUUUUUGUUUCUCUUCUUUGCUAGACUUGGGUUCAGAUUGUGAGGCCAUAGCAUCAUUUUUCGUUUCCUUAUGCGCUAGUUAGAAGAACAAUCGAGCUGAGUUAUCCUCUCCUUCUUGCUACAAACCGUGAACCCUUAAGAAAUAAACCACUCUUCAAGUCUUUUCUCUUCCCCACUGAUUCGGCAAAUUGCAGCAAACAUGGGGAUUUCAACAUAAACUCACCAUCCAUCUUUCCCUCUUGUUCGGCCGAAGCCUCACCUCAAGGAAAGGAGGUUAUUUUCGUGGUUCUUUCUGUUCCUGCUCACUCGAAUUCUUCUGAUCGAAUCUUCCCCCACUGCAUGCACAACAGUCCGCCUUGCUUAAGUCUUUCCAUCCUUUGCAUGCAGCUGGAUGGGAUCCUUUGGAGCAUGAGACGUUGAGGGUGCAUUCCUAUUCUUUCUCCUCUUGUGCUCGGCCAAACACCUUGAAGUAUGAGAUUUUGUUUUGUGAAAUUCGGUGUAGUAAGAGUGUGAGUAUACAAGCACAAAACUUGUUGGCUGUCUCGUUAGUGAUGGCGAAAUUGGUGUUUUGCAAGGAGGUGCGCUAAACCCUUAGACCGUUGACUGUUUUGCGGCUGAUUGUUAAAUUAAUUGUAGCACGCGAGGAGGACGUAAAAGCUUUUGAGGACUUGGAUAUUUGUUGUUGGCUUCUACUGUUUUGGACAUGCUGAUGUGAUAUUUUAUGGAUGACUGUAUGAAAUUGAGAAUCUUUUAUUACUGUGAACUAUGAUUUUAUUAUUGCAUUACGAUUUUAUGACCAGCAAGUAUUAUGGAAACAGAUGUUGAAACGUUUGCGAAAAGGAUUUUUACAUGUUAUCUAAAUGCUGAGUUUUGAAAAGUCUUUGCGAGCACUUUGUAAGU